rnacentral:rRNA from 1 species
UGAUGUACCUAGUAAUAUUAGUGAUUAAUAUGAGAUUAACUAAGUUAAUUAAAAUUCUAAGUAGAUAUGUGAUUAUGACAAUAUCUGCUUAAGUCUUGACCAAGUCACGUGCCAGCAGUCGCGGUAAUACGUGGUAGACAAGUGUUAUUCAUCUUUAAUAGGUUUAAAGGGUACCUAGACGGUUAAUUAAGCAAUCUAUGUACUAAUUAACUAGAGUUUGAUGUAAGAAGGAUUGAGUACGGUGAGUGGAGAGAUAAAAUUCUUUGAUACCACUUAGGAACUGGUAAGGGCGAAGGCAACCUUCAAUGUAAAAACUGACGUUAAGGGACGAAGGCUCAUGUAAAAUAAUAGGAUUAGAUACCCUAGUAUUGUGAGCAGAAAAUGAUGAGUGUCAUAUACAAUAAAAAUUAUUGUGUAUAAAUGAAAGUGUAAGCAUUCCACCUCAAGAGUAACGUGGCAACAUGGGAACUGAAAUCAUUAGACCGUUUCUGAAACUCGUAGUGAAGUAUGUUGUUUAAUUUGAUAAUACACAAAUAACCUUACCACAAUUUGUAUAACUAUAGUUAUAUAUAGUUACAAGCGUUGCACGGCUGUCAGAAGUCAAUGUUGUGAAACUAUGGUUAGAUCCAUCUAAUUGACGUAAACCCUUACUUUAUUUAUUAUAAAGUGGUUCGCCGCUAUA